UACGACUACAUAUCAGGCAUAUCAAUAAGCGGAGGAAAAGAAACUAACAAGGAUUCCCUUAGUAACGGCGAGUGAAGCGGGAAGAGCUCAAAUUUGAAAUCUUCAAGGCUCUACCUUGACGAAUUGUAGUUUAAAGAAGUGUUUUCUGUUAGAGGAGUAGCAAAAGUUCCUUGGAAUGGGACAUCAUAGAGGGUGAGAAUCCCGUAUUUGGUUAUUCUUUCUAGCUUUGUGAUACACUUUCAAAGAGUCGGAUUGUUUGGGAAUGCAGUCCAAAAUGGGUGGUAAAUUUCAUCUAAAGCUAAAUAUUGGCGAGAGACCGAUAGCGAACAAGUACCGUGAGGGAAAGAUGAAAAGAACUUUGAAAAGAGAGUUAAACAGUACGUGAAAUUGUCAAAAGGGAAGCGUUUGACACCAGUGUUGUUUAGUUGAAAAUCAAUUCAAUAGUUUUUGAUUCUAAGUAGUAUUGACUUCAUCAGCUUGCUGCUUUCUUCUCAGAAAUUAUUGAAUGCACUUUUCAGUUAACAAGUCAACAUCAAUUUCUUUUGUUGUAAAAGGGUAAGAGGAAGGUGGCUUGCGCUUCGGCUCAAGUGUUUAUAGCCUUUUAUCUCUGCAAUCGGAGAGAUUGAGGUCUGCAGCGUAGAUCCUUCGGGGUUAGAUACAUUGGUGCUAAGCUAUAGCCUUGUAUAGACAACUUGUUGACUAUGCUCAGUCAUGUAGCUUACUCGCUGAUGCUAUUUUACCUACGCUUAGGAUGUUGAUCUACAGAGCGAGAGU
rnacentral:rRNA from 1 species